rnacentral:rRNA from 1 species
CCUACGGGUGGCAGCAGUGGGGAAUAUUGGACAAUGGGCGAAAGCCUGAUCCAGCCAUGCCGCGUGUGUGAAGAAGGCCUUCGGGUUGUAAAGCACUUUCAGUGGGGAAGAAAGCCUUGGGGCUAAUACCCUCGAGGAAGGACAUCACCCACAGAAGAAGCACCGGCUAACUCCGUGCCAGCCGCCGCGGUAAUACGGAGGGUGCGAGCGUUAAUCGGAAUUACUGGGCGUAAAGCGCGCGUAGGCGGUCUGAUAAGCCGGUUGUGAAAGCCCCGGGCUCAACCUGGGAACGGCAUCCGGAACUGUCAGGCUAGAGUGCAGGAGAGGAAGGUAGAAUUCCCGGUGUAGCGGUGAAAUGCGUAGAGAUCGGGAGGAAUACCAGUGGCGAAGGCGGCCUUCUGGACUGACACUGACGCUGAGGUGCGAAAGCGUGGGUAGCAAACAGGAUUAGAUACCCCAGUAGUC